UACGGAGGGUGCAAGCGUUAUCCGGAUUUACUGGGUUUAAAGGGUGCGUAGGUGGAACUUUAAGUCAGUGGUGAAAUGUCAGUGCUUAACACUGAGACUGCCAUUGAUACUAUCGUUCUUGAAUUAUGUUGAGGUAUGCGGAAUACAACAUGUAGCGGUGAAAUGCAUAGAUAUGUUGUAGAACCCCGAUUGCGAAGGCAGCAUGCUAAACAAGGAUUGACACUGAAGCACGAAAGCGUGGGGAGAGAAC
rnacentral:rRNA from 1 species